GCUCCUGUGGCUCAGGUGGUUAGAGCGUCCGCCGCCUCGGAUGCAGGAUGUCGCGGGUUCGAACCUCAGCAGAGUCA